rnacentral:rRNA from 1 species
UACGAAGGGGGCUAGCGUUGCUCGGAAUUACUGGGCGUAAAGCGCACGUAGGCGGAUUGUUAAGUCGGGGGCGAAAUCCUGGAGCUCAACUCCAGAACUGCCUUCGAUACUGGCGAUCUCGAGUCCGGAAGAGGCGAGUGGAAUUCCUGGUGUAGCGGUGGAAUGCGCAGAUAUCAGGAGGAACACCAACGGCGAAGGCAGCUCGCUGGGACGGUACUGACGCUGAGGCGCGAAAGCGUGGGGAGCGAACAGG